UACGUAGGGGGCCAGCGUUGUCCGGAAUCAUUGGGCGUAAAGCGCGCGUAGGCGGCCAGAUAAGUCCGGUGUGAAAGUCAAAGGCUCAACCUUUGAAUGCCGCUGGAAACUGCCUGGCUUGAGUCCGGAAGGGGCGAGUGGAAUUCCUGGUGUAGCGGUGAAAUGCGCAGAUAUCAGGAGGAACACCAAUGGCGAAGGCAGCUCGCUGGAACGGUACUGACGCUGAGGCGCGAAGCGUGGGGAGCGAACAG
rnacentral:rRNA from 1 species